rnacentral:rRNA from 1 species
CAGCCGCCGCGGUAAUACGUAGGGUGCGAGCGUUAAUCGGAAUUACUGGGCGUAAAGCGUGCGCAGGCGGUUAUAUAAGACAGAUGUGAAAUCCCCGGGCUCAACCUGGGACCUGCAUUUGUGACUGUAUAGCUAGAGUACGGUAGAGGGGGAUGGAAUUCCGCGUGUAGCAGUGAAAUGCGUAGAUAUGCGGAGGAACACCGAUGGCGACGGCAAUCCCCUGACCUGUACUGACGCUCAUGCACGAGAGCGUGGGGAGCAAACAGGAUUAGAUACCCCGUAGUCCCUGUCUCUUAUACAC